UUGACCUCGGACCAGGUAGGGAUACCCGCUGAACUCAAGCAUAUCAAUAAGCGGAGGA
rnacentral:rRNA from 1 species